rnacentral:lncRNA from 10 species
GCAGGUGGCCUCCAGGUGCAAAGUGGGAAGUGUGAGUCCUCAGUCUUGGGCUAUUCGGCCACGUGCCUGCCGGACAUGGGACGCUGGAGGGUCAGCAGCGUGGAGUCCUGGCCUUUUGCGUCCACGGGUGGGAAAUUGGCCAUUGCCACGGCGGGAACUGGGACUCAGGCUGCCCCCCGGCCGUUUCUCAUCCGUCCACCGGACUCGUGGGCGCUCGCACUGGCGCUGAUGUAGUUUCCUGACCUCUGACCCGUAUUGUCUCCAGAUUAAAGGUACGACAUUUGGAGGCCCCAGCGAGAAACGUCACCGGGAGAAACGUCACCGGGCGAGAGCCGGGCCCGCUGUGUGCUCCCCCGGAAGGACAGCCAGCUUGUAGGGGGGAGUGCCACCUGAAAAAAAAAUUUCCAGGUCCCCAAAGGGUGACCGUCUUCCGGAGGACAGCGGAUCGACUACCAUGUGGGUGCCCACAAAAAUUCCACCUCUGAGUCCUCAACUGCUGACCCCGGGGUCAGUAGACACGGGGUUUCACCAUGUUGGCCAGGCCGGUCUUGAACUUGUGACGUCAGGUGAUGCACCCGCCUUGGCCUCCCAAAGUGCUGGGAUUACAGGUCCAGAUUUUGAACAAAUCUCGCUAGAGAUUGAACAGAGCUGCGCCUGGAUCCCGCCACAGUGAGGAGACCUGAAGACCAGAGAAAACACAGCAAACGGAGUCUUGCUCUGUUGUCCAGGCUGGAGUGUAGUGUGGCGAUCUCGGCUCCCUGCAAGAAUCUGCCUCCCAGAUUCACGCCAUUUUCCCACCUCAGCCCCUGGAGUAGCUGGAAGUACAGGCUCCCGCCACCACGCCUGGCUAAUUUUGUUUUUGUAUUUUUAGUAGAGACGGGGUUUCACUGUGUUAGGUAGGAUGGUCUCGAUCUCCUGACCUCAUGAUCCAUCCGCCUUGGCCUCUCAAAGUGCUGGGAUUACAGGCAUGAGCCACCGCACCUGGCUGUUUUUUCAUUUCUAUUAUGAUUUGUUCUGUGGAAUGUCAGUGACUUAGCGGUGUUUUUCACAUGUUUAUAAAGCUGAAUAGUUCUGUAUGUCAGCUCAGCACCCCUAGUGUCAGUCAUGCUACUCUCCUGCUGUGCAUAGAUGGGGGCCUGUCCACACCCAAAUCUCCUGGGUUCCCGCUGUCCGCACCUGAAGGUACCCACCAGAUGUGUCUGUCACUGCCCUCCAUCCACCUUUCUUGUGGUUCUCAUGUUUCUGCCUCCCUAGAGACCAUUUCUCUCUACAGCAGUAGUUUCCAAUAGAAAUACAAUGCCAGACACAUACGUCAUUUUAGAUUUUCUAGUAGUCACUUUAGAAAAGUGAAAAAGAGGCCAGCUGCAGUGGCUCACACCUGUAAUCCCAGCACUUUGGAAGGCUGAGGUGGGUGGAUCACGAGGUCAGGAGAUCGAGACCAUCCUGGCCAACAUGGUGAAACCCCCUCUCUACUAAAAAUACAAAAAAUUAGCUGGGCGUGGUGGCAGGCGCCUGUAGUCCCAGCUACUCGAGAGGCUGAGGCAGGAGAAUGGCGUGAACCCGGUAGGCAGAGCUUGCAGUGAGCCGAGAUAGCGCCACUGCACUCCAGCCUGGGCGACAGAGGGAGACUCCAUCUCAAAAAAAAAAAAAAGGUUACAAAGAAACAGGUGAAAUUAGUUUUAUUUCACCUAAAAUGUUAGCAUUAUCCAAAAUAUCACUUCAACAUCUUAUCAAAAUAAAAAUUAUUAA